GGAGGGUGCGAGCGUUGUUCGGAAUCACUGGGCGUAAAGGGCGUGUAGGCGGUCCGCUAAGUCUGAUGUGAAAGCCCGGGGCUCACCCCCGGAAGUGCAUUGGAAACUGGCGGACUCGAGUCCCGGAGAGGAGGGUGGAAUUCCUGGUGUAGCGGUGAAAUGCGUAGAUAUCAGGAGGAACACCGGUGGCGAAGGCGGCCCUCUGGACGGUGACUGACGCUGAGACGCGAAAGCGUGGGGAGCAAACAGGAUUAGAUACCCUGGUAGUCCACGCUGUAAACGAUGAGCACUAGGUGUCGUGGGUAUUGACCCCCGCGGUGCCGCCGCUAACGCAUUAAGUGCUCCGCCUGGGGACUACGGCCGCAAGGUUA
rnacentral:rRNA from 1 species